UAGCUGUCAACCCAAAAACCAGAUGUUAAUGAGGGGCAACUUCUCAUCUAUGACCUAUGAGUUUUGAAUAAUUGCAACUAGAAUUUGCACCAACUAGCAGAACUUUGUCAAGUGGAAAUAACACUUGAUGGUUAUGUGAAAAGGCAAAGGACAUAACACCUCAAUCAACAAAUGAGAAAAAGAUAGGAAGUAUGUAACAACUCGUCAGCAAGAUUCGCCGUCUCGGUACCGGAUCCCAUAUUGUUACAUCCUAUUACAAUAUCGGUAUGCAGUACGGUACAAAACAGCCAAGCAUAUCAAGUAUCAGUACGGUACAAAACUAUAAUAUUGGUAAGGUACUAAUAUGGUACAGUAUGUUUGGUACAGUACGGUGCCGACCGGUACAGCAAAUCUUGCUGUUCACCACUCCUAUUAGAAUUUGUCUCAAGGGCAUAAGGUUUAGGAUAUGGUUUCUGUGUGUGUGUGUGUGUGUGUGUGUGAGAGAGAGAGAGAGAGAGAGAGAGAGUAAUAUNNNNNNNNNNNNNNNNNNNNUGUGUGUGUGUGUGUGUGUGUGUGAGAGAGAGAGAGAGAGAGAGAGAGAGUAAUAUUACCAGUCUCUCCCGAAUUAAAUUCUAAGGCAGGUUACGGUUAAGCAAGCCUUGAAAAGAUAAGUAUAGAUCCUUGUUAUCUGUACC
rnacentral:lncRNA from 1 species